UAAUUCCAAUUUCUGAAGCCGAACUCAUCAUGACGUUGGCCAAUCUCAUUGAACACAGUUCUGACCGGGCUGAAUUUCUAAAGCUUUGCAAGAGAGUUGAAUACACAAUUCGUGCUUGGUAUCUUCUGCAAUUUGAAGAUCUGAUGCAAUUGUUCUCCCUCUUUGAUCCUGUCCACGGGACUGAGAAAUGUGAGCAGCAGAACCUAACUUC